rnacentral:rRNA from 1 species
CGUGCAGGAUGAAGGCCUUCGGGUUGUAAACUGCUUUUGUACGGAACGAAAAGGCUCUGGUUAAUACCUGGGGCACAUGACGGUACCGUAAGAAUAAGCACCGGCUAACUACGUGCCAGCAGCCGCGGUAAUACGUAGGGUGCGAGCGUUAAUCGGAAUUACUGGGCGUAAAGCGUGCGCAGGCGGUGAUGUAAGACAGAUGUGAAAUCCCCGGGCUCAACCUGGGAACUGCAUUUGUGACUGCAUCGCUGGAGUGCGGCAGAGGGGGAUGGAAUUCCGCGUGUAGCAGUGAAAUGCGUAGAUAUGCGGAGGAACACCGAUGGCGAAGGCAAUCCCCUGGGCCUGCACUGACGCUCAUGCACGAAAGCGUGGGGAGCAAACAGGAUUAGAUACCCUGGUAGUCCACGCCCUAAACGAUGUCAACUGGUUGUUGGUCCUUCACUGGAUCAGUAACGAAGCUAACGCGUGAAGUUGACCGCCUGGGGAGACGGCCCGCAAGGUUGAA